AUAAGUAAAUAAAUAAAUAACAAUCAAAAGUAAAAGCCUUUACUUGUGUUUGAGGAUAUUAAGUCCAACCCCACUUUUUAUGCUGGGAUAUAGUUUUGUAGUUUUAUACACAUUCAUGUGUAGUCUCUAUCACGUGACCCUCUCCUUCAUCUUCUUCUUUUUCUGUUAAAAGCAAAGCGUCCCAGACAUCCUUCCAUUGUUGUUACAUGACCACCCACACUCACCAUUCUCCUCCUGUUUCUCAGUCGAGCAAACCGUCAUACACCCCAACCACUCGUUGAUUUCCAUUGCUUGAUAUCUUCCCGCACUACCGAGAAACACCACCACCAAAGGUGGUGUUGCCGCUAUGUAACCAACGGGAACCAUAACGGUUCUCCCUAUCUUGCCACCGAUCGAAGCUAUCAGACACAACCCAAAACCACCUUCAUUUGUUACUUUCUCACUUCUCCGGCGAAGAGAGCCACCACUGUCGGCUGUGGCAGCUCCUCCACCUCCCGACGUCAUGACCCAUCACCAGAAAACACCCUUCCCAAACACCUUCGGACCAUAACUUUGCACCUCCCUGCCCUUUCUCUCGUCCAGUUCACCUGAAAAGAAAGGAAACGAAGGCAGCAAAGCUGCCAUUGCAGGUCCGUCACCACCCACCGUUGGCAAAACCCAUUUCACCUCCAACCACCGCUGUGACUACUGGAACGCCUCCAUACCGACAUCUACCACCUGAAACCGCCUUGCGUUCUUUCCCUCUCGUCAAAUCCAUCUGAACAGGAAAGCAAACGCAGCAAGGCAGCCAUUGCCGCCCUCCGUCGUCCUUGUUGUGGAGUCCCGGACGCCACCGCCAUCACCGAGCUGCUGCUGCCCAGUCACCCUAGCAAUCACCGGCCACUGUAAUAUAAAUAAACCCGAUGAUUCGUUUUGAGGGCACGGGACGUCACGAAACGGCUUUCACAAAAAGUUUCACCCUCGAGCCUCGUUCACGCUUCAAGGGAGAUCAGUAAACCAGCGUUUAACGGAAGAUUUGUUCAUGGAUUUUCGGGCAAUCUAGUCUUAUUUAGUUUUUGUUAUGUCGACCUACUUGUUAAGGUGAAUUUAUGAACCUAUUAAUAUAUGUAUGAAACUUAAAUUUGAACUUUAAAUUUGAAUGUAACUGCUAUGUUGUUAUUGUUGUAGCUUGUGAUGUAUAUUCAAUUUACUUGGGAUCCAUGAACUAAGUCGCACAGCCCGACGUAUUCCGCCGCCUCGGCCGGGGGUGUGACAGAUUGGUAUCAGAGCUAAAUUGGCUAUAGAGAACUCUUAUCCUCGAAAGAGGAAAUACAACUAUAGCUACCGGCUCCUAAUAAAAGUAUUAUUAAUAAAUAUACUACUUCUUUACUACUCAUGGGAGAGGCAGCUGGUUUGAAAGGCUGCUAGGGUUACUGCACUUCAAAACGGAUUAGUUGCCACAAUGGUCCUAGCCCCCGGUGUUUCCUAUCUGACUCUCAUAUGUGCUUAGUAGUCUUGGAGUACAAACCAAAAAUUUAAUAAUACUACAAACCUCACCAACAAUAAUAUAUAUAAGAGUUAUAUAUUUACUCUGACCCGCGAUGAGAACACUUAAUAAAAAUUCUGACAUGCCUUCAACUAAAGCGACCAACUCAAUCCUUUAGGUCAAAAGCCUCAACUAAGGUUAGUAUCGUGCAUAGGCCAUACCAUAAAUAAACCUGGAACGCGCGUCUAUGUUAUUUAUGGUCAGGCUGGUGAACAACCAACCUUGAGCGACGAGUUUGACAGACUACAAUGGUUGAGAGCUUUAGAGAUUGAAGGAUGUUCUCAAGACUCGAUACAUAUAUUUAAUACCUAACAUCCAUGUAUCAACUCCCAGACAACACAUAUAUCUAAAAAAAAAUCAUAAAAUACUUAAAGGUCUGGGAUAACAUCCAGAUUUUCCCGAUUUACCUAAAUUCGAGAAGAACAAAGGACCAAUAGUUCUACUACCUUUGUGGCAGAGAAACCUAUAGUUCCCAGUCGAUCAUUCAGUAUUCUCCAAACUUCUAUCUCCCCUACCUUCCAAAUAUGACAAGGAUCCAUCCGAAGACAAACCAUCUAUAGAAUCCACUAAAGGGGAGGUAUCUAAAUAAGAGAAGGGAACGACCGAAGGUAACCAACCAGCUGAAGAAAAUAUGAAAUGAGAAGGACUAACAGAUGAAGAGUCCACCAUUCAAAUGCCACCAGUGUACUGCAUCUACUAAUAAUUAUAGAUGGAACGCCCUACAUGGAUGCUCCUACAAAAAGGAUUCCACCUCAUUCUCAAAGUUGUACUUCCAUCUAAAGGAAACAAAUUUUGUCGCAAGAGUCAGGUGUGACUGCCUAUACAUCCCGUUUCAAUGAGCUCGCUAACCUCUGUCCAGGAAUAGUAAACACGGAAUACAAAAGGAUUGAAAGUUACAUCAGGGGACUAAGUCCCACGAUUCUAGGUCUACUUGAUGUGUCCAGGACCACUACCUUUGAUGGUGCUAAGCAAUUGGCGUAUCAUUUGACUGAACAUGAUCUUCGUCCGAGUACCACAACCCAACAAACGAGAUAGAACCAUGCAAAGAGUAAGAAGAGGAAAUACCCAGAGAAGUCCAAAGGAAACUUCAAACUCCUGAGGCCCAAAUCAGAACCUAUGACCAUCAACGCCACAAGCCCAAACACUCCCACAAUGGAACA